UACCGGCACCCCGAGUGGUCGGGACGUUUAUUGGGCCUAAAGCAUCCGUAGCCGGUUCUACAAGUCUUCCGUUAAAUCCAGCUGCUUAACAGAUGGGCUGCGGAAGAUACUAUGGAGCUAGGAGGCGGGAGAGGCAAGCGGUACUCGAUGGGUAGGGGUAAAAUCCGUUGAUCCAUUGAAGACCACCAGUGGCGAAGGCGGCUUGCCAGAACGCGCUCGACGGUGAGGGAUGAAAGCUGGGGGAGCAAACCGG
rnacentral:rRNA from 1 species